UGGGGAAUUUUGGACAAUGGGCGCAAGCCUGAUCCAGCAAUGCCGCGUGCAGGAUGAAGGCCUUCGGGUUGUAAACUGCUUUUGUCAGGGAAGAAACGAGUUUCUCUAAUACAGAGACUUAAUGACGGUACCUGAAGAAUAAGCACCGGCUAACUACGUGCCAGCAGCCGCGGUAAUACGUAGGGUGCAAGCGUUAAUCGGAAUUACUGGGCGUAAAGCGUGCGCAGGCGGUUAUAUAAGACAGAUGUGAAAUCCCCGGGCUCAACCUGGGACCUGCAUUUGUGACUGUAUAGCUAGAGUACGGUAGAGGGGGAUGGAAUUCCGCGUGUAGCAGUGAAAUGCGUAGAUAUGCGGAGGAACACCGAUGGCGAAGGCAAUCCCCUGGACCUGUACUGACGCUCAUGCACGAAAGCGUGGGGAGCAAACA
rnacentral:rRNA from 1 species